rnacentral:tRNA from 2 species
GAGAAAGAAACAUGUAGGUUAUGUGGUUGGCUUGAAACUAACUUGAGGGGGUUCAAAUCCUUCCUUUCUUG